CCGCCCUCCAGAAAGGAAGUGCCUUGAGUGGCAGGGCGCCCGGCCAAUGGGGAGACUCCGGACUGGAGUCACGCAAGGCCCGCCCCCCCCUUGCUCCGGAGUGGAUCCGGAGUGGAGGAAAGGAAAGGAACCGCGGGGGAGGGAGGAGUUAGAGCGCCUUCGUCCCGCGCUAACUUCGGCCCCGUCUACACAGCCCGUGACCGAAUCACUACAGGAAAGGAGAUUCCACCUGAACAUCAGGAAGAACUUCCUCACUGUGAGAAGGGCUGUUCGACAGUGGAACUCUCUCCCCGGGGCCGUGGUGGAGGCUCCUUCCUUGGAGGCUUUUAAGCAGAGCCGGGAUGGCCAUCUGUCGGGGGUGCUUUGAAUGAGAUUUCCUGCUUCUUAGCAGGGGGUUGGACUGGAUGGCCCAUGUGGUCUCUUCCAACUCUACUAUUCUAUGAUUCUAUGAUCUAUGAUUCUAUGAAUCCGGAUUAUCUGCUUCGAACCGGGUUGUAGGGCUGUGUAGACUCGCAUAAUCCGGUUCAGAGCAGGUAAUCCGGAUUCCGAAACACGAUUACAUGGCAGUGUCGACUCAGAAUGGAUCUAGACUGCCAUAUACAGUAGAGUCUCGCUUAUCCAACAUAAACGGGCCGGCAGAACGUUGGAUAAGCGAAUAUGUUGGAUAAUAAGGAGAGAUUAAGGAAAAGCCUAUUAAACAUCAAAUUAGGUUAUGAUUUUACAAAUUAAGCACCAAAACAUCAUGUUAUACAACAAAUUUGAUGGAAAAAGUAGUUCAAUACGCAGUAAUGUUAUGUUGUAAUUUCUGUAUUUACAAAUUUAGCACUAAAAUAUCAUGAUGUAUUGAAAACAUUGACUACAAAAAUGCGUUGGAUAAUCCAGAACGUUGGAUAAGCGAGUCUUGGAUAAGUGAGACUCUACUGUAAUAUGUAAUAUAUUGUAUAGGGUAAAGGUAAAGGUUUCCCCUGACGUUAAGUCCAGUCAUGUCUGACUCUGGGGGUUGGUGCUCAUUGGCAUGUUUUCGAACUGCUAGGUUGGUAGAAGCUGGAGCUAACAGCAGGCGCUCACCCCGCUCCCGGGGCUUGAACCUGGGACCUUUCGGUCUCCAGCUCAGUGCUUUUAUACACUCUGCCACCGGAGCUCAAUAAUAUAUUGUAUAGACAUAUAAUAUUGGUAAUAAUAUUAUAAUGUAAUACAAUAUUAUACUACUAAUACAAUAUAAUAAUAUUAUUAAUUAUAUAUUACAGUAGAGUCUCACUUAUCCAACAUAAACGGGCUGGCAGAACGCUGGAUAAGCGAAUAUGUUGGAUAAUAAGGAGGGAUUAAGGAAAAGCCUAUUAAACAUCAAAUUAGGUUAUGAUUUUACAAAUUAAGCACCAAAACAUCAUGUUAUACAACAAAUUUGACAGAAAAAGUAGUUCAAUACGAAAUAAUGCUAUGCAGUAAUUACUGUAUUUAUGACUUUAGCACCAAAAUAUCACGAUAUAUUGAAAACAUUGACUACAAAAAUGCGUUGGAUAAUCCAGAAUGUUGGAUAAGCAAGUGUUGGAUAAGUGAGACUCUACUGUAAUGAUAUAAUACAAUAUAGUAAUUUAAUGCUUAUAUUGUGCUAUGCUAAUACUGUAAUUUGGAUUGUACAUGGCAGUGUAGAAGGGGCUCCAUAUAAUCCACUUCAAAGAAAACUAUCUGGAUUCAGAAACAGGAUUAUAUGACAGUGUGGAUUCAGAUUGGAUCCACACUGCCAUAUAAUCCAGAUUAUCAAAGCACAUCAUCCCAGUUAUCUGCUUUGAACUAUAAUACUAGAUUAUAUGAGUCUACAGUGCCCUAUAAUCCGGUUCAAAUAAAAUCAUCUGGAUUUUAUAUGGCAGUGUAGCUCCAGACCCAUAUAACACCAUGGCCCCUUCUACACUGCCAUAUAAUCCAGAUUAUCAAAACCGAUUAUCUUGAACUGGGUUAUGUGAGUCUACACUGCCACAUAAUCCAGUUCAAAGCAGAUAAUCUGGAUUUUAUAUGGCAGUGUAGAAGUGGCGUCAUAUAAUCCACUUCAAAGCAGAUAAUCCGGAUUCAGAAACCGGAUUAUAUGGCAGCGUGGACUCAGAAUGGAUCUACACUGCCAUAUAAUCCAGAUUAUCCAUGCAGAUCAUCCCCAUUAUCUGCUUUGAACUGGGUUAUAUGAAUCUGCACUGCCCUAUAAUCAAAGCAGAUAAUCUGGAUUUUAUAUGGCAGUGUAGAAUGUGUCGUGAUUUGCAAAGGCAGUCUGCUGUGUGUGUUAAAGUGGAAAAUGAAGUGCAUGGAGCUGAUUGGCCAAGCCUGCAAAGACCUGGGGAUUGAUUUGAUACUGUUUCUGUUCUGCUGCUGCAGAACCAGUUUGGAAAUGUUUUUUUCAGUGCUGAGUACUGCAGGGAAGAGAGCUGUGUACUCAGAGAGGCCUUGCUAUUUUGAGGCCUGUAUGCUACUGAGAAAAGAGGGUGAAGAACCAGGACUGUAUUGUUCUAUGAAACAGAUUUUGUGGACUGAGAAAGGACUGUUUAUGACUGUGGACUUCUGUAAGCGAUCAGAGGGACCAUUGUAAAUAUUACUGUUUUUGUAAUCUCUUGGAAUUGGUAAAGUUCCUGUAUUUUUGUUCUGCAAACCUGAGUGGCGUGUUAUUGUUCUGCGGGUGACUCUGGAUCGCGGACACAGGUAAGAGCUUCCAUUUAUCAUCAUCAAUCUGUAAUAGAAGGGGCUCCAUAUAAUCCACUUUAAAGCAGAUAAUCUAGAACGUAGAAGGAAGGCCGGCUCUUCCUCCCUCGCGCCGGCCUUCCUGUCUCUAUAGAGAAACAUCCUGUUCGGUCCAAAGAUAUUCCAGAUAUUCAAUUGGGUCUCAACUUCCUCCAAGUCACGAUUCCCAAGGAACUCCAUGAAGAAAUCCAACCCAUUUCCCACAAAGUAGCAAGUUCCUUCUUGACUCGAGUCUAAUGCUCACCUGGGAGUUUUAAAAAUAGUUUCCCCAGCUUAAAAAAAAAUUAAAUUUGACUGUAAACACUAUUUUGGGGUCCCUUGUCCUGAAAUAUUAGAAUAUAUAUGUAUGUGAUUUAAUUUGGGCUGACACGUCUUUAUGGUGUUUAUUGGAUUUAAUUCUCUGCAUUGAUUCCCAAGUUUGCCCUUACCUGGUGUAGACACACACCCCAGUACCUACUUGCCGAUUUAAAUUCUGGAUCUCCUGCAAUAUUAACUGGUAUUUAAUUUUUUUUGCAAAACAAGAAAAGUAAUCUGGAAAAGAUCUAAGCCAUGAGGAGAGGCAGCUGAUUCUGACUUUCUUGCCACAUCAUCUUCCAAAAAGAAGGCAAAGUGGCAGAAAGGGCUACUAAGAUAAAGACUGAAAGGAAUCAGUGAAGAAAGGAAGGAAGGAAGGAAGGAGGAAGUUUCCAUGUGGGAUCCUCAGCAGCACCUUUGCUACGGCAGUGACACCUCCAUUGGCCCAGUCAUGCGCUCCUUGCUGCCUCCGACGCACCCGAGGAGGAGGAGGCCCAGCAGGUCAGACAGCAUUGCAUUUCACCGGGAGACGCCCUGGCGUCACUGUGACUUCGGGAAGAGCGGCCAUGGCUCAAUUUGUGGCCAGAGGCCUAAGCAAGCAGGACACGGGCUCCUGGAAGGGACCCCAAGGGCUAUCCAGUCCAACCCCUUUCUCCCAGGGAGGGAAAUACAAUCAAUAUAAUCCACAAGUUACACACAUCCAACUUACAAACAGGGCUGAGACAACAGGAAGCGAGAGAAAUCCACUCCUGAAAGAGUUCUCAUGGGGAAAAGGAGUCUCCAUGGAAGCUUUAUCCCCAAUCCUUGGUUCCACAACAAAGCCAUUUUUCCAAAAUCCAAUUACACUACGUGACACAGGCUACGAACAGCUUCAAAUUCUCAACAUGGUUCAAGUCAUACCUUCCGUAAACUUGGUUGUGGGGCCAGGCUUUUGAAUAACAAUUAGUAGCGUUAAUUACUAUUACAGUAGAGUCUCACUUAUCCAAGCUAAGCAGGCCGGCAGAAGCUCAGAUAAGCGAAUAUCUUGGAUAAUAAGGAGGGAUUAAGGAAAAGCCUAUUAAAGAUCAAAUUAGGUUAUGAUUUUAUAACUAAUGGCCAAUGCCGGUUUUAUAUUUGCAUUUACAAAGUGCUUUGGGCAUGUUUGUCUCCUGAAACUGAAACAAACGCUCUUUCUUGUUUGUGAACUACAGUUGAAUCUCACUGAUCCAACAUAAACGGGCCGGCAGAAGCUCGGAUAAGCGAAUAUCUUGGAUAAUAAGGAGGGAUCAAGGAAAAGCCUAUUAAACAUCAAAUUAGGUUAUGAUUUUACAAAUUAAGCACCAAAACAUCAUGUUAUACAUCAAAUUUGACAGAAAAAGUAGUUCAAUACGCAGUAAUGUUAUGUUGUAAUUAUUGUAUUUACGAAUUUAGCACCAAAAUAUUAUGAUAUAUCGAAAACAUUGACUACAGAAAUGGCUUGGAUAAUCCAGAAGCUUGGGUAAGCGAAGCUUGGAUAAGUGAGACUCUACUGUAUGUACGCUGGAACUCAAUUGAUAGGCCCAGUCUUUUGAACUUGAACACGCCUAUCUGUAUUUUAUAAUGCAUUUUAUGAAUGUCCGAUGUAAGUUAAUUUUUUAACUGAUUUAUAGUGUAUUCUACAAUUUUUAUAUACGCAUUUUAUUGUAAGCCGCCCUGAGUACCCUGUUGAGUGAGAAGGGCGGGAUGUAAAUAUUGUAAUAAAUAAUUAAAUAAAUUUGACCAUAAAGGACUAUGUACCUAUCCAGCCUUAAAAAGGUAAAAAGUAAAGGUUUCCCCUGAUGUUAAGUCCAGUUGUGUCCAACUCUGGGGGUUAGCGCUCAUCUCCAUUUUUAAGCCGAAGAGCCGGCGUUGUCCAUAGACAACCUCCAAGGUCAUGUGGCCACUGGCAUGACUGCAUGGAACGCCGUUACCUUCCCGCCGGAGCGGUACCUAUUGAUCUACUCACAUUUGCAUGUUUUCGAACUGCUAGGUUGGCAGAAGCUGGAGCUAACAGCGGGCACUCACUCCGCUCCCCAGGUUUGAACCUGGGACCUUGCGGUCUGCAAGUUCAGCAGCUCAGCGCUUUAACACACUGAGCCACCGGAGGCUCCUCCUAACCAGCCUUACAUUCCCGAAACUCAGACAAGCUUUUGCAGCCCUACGAUUCCAAAGUAUGCCCUCAGCAGUGUUGGAUGCGAGAUACUCAGGCACUCCUUUGGCUUGUCGGUGAUGCGCUUGUGGGGCCCCAGAAACUGAAAAUCUGCCCCACUACUUGUUCACCUGCUCCCUAAAUUCUUGGAGGCCUGUUCUAUGGUACCUAUAAUCAAACACAGUUGCAGAAAAGAUCUACCUUUUACCCGAUUUCAAAUUCUCAGUCACUUAAAAGGUCUUUCUCUUUACCCUGGCAGCAAAUAAAAUCAGGGCAAGACUGAUUGCAGACACUAUGCUAUUGUCACUAUUUUAUUUUUACUAUGUUACUGUGUAUAAUUGUUUUUAUCUUGAUGUAUUUUUAUCUGCUGAUGAAGUGUAUUAUGUAUGUAUUUUAUUUCGUUCUUUUGUAAUUAUCUAGGCUUGGCCCCAUGUUAGUCGCCCUGAGUCCCUUCAGGGAGAUGGAGGCAGAGUACAAAAAUAAAGUUGUUUUUGUUAUUA